UACGUAGGGUGCAAGCGUUGUCCGGAAUUAUUGGGCGUAAAGAGCUCGUAGGCGGUCUGUCGCGUCUGCUGUGAAAACUCAGGGCUUAACCCUGAGCUUGCAGUGGGUACGGGCAGACUAGAGUGCGGUAGGGGGAGACUGGAAUUCCUGGUGUAGCGGUGAAAUGCGCAGAUAUCAGGAGGAACACCGGUGGCGAAGGCGGGUCUCUGGGCCGUAACUGACGCUG
rnacentral:rRNA from 1 species